rnacentral:rRNA from 1 species
AACGUAGGUCACAAGCGUUGUCCGGAAUUACUGGGUGUAAAGGGAGCGCAGGCGGGAAGACAAGUUGGAAGUGAAAUCCAUGGGCUCAACCCAUGAACUGCUUUCAAAACUGUUUUUCUUGAGUAGUGCAGAGGUAGGCGGAAUUCCCGGUGUAGCGGUGGAAUGCGUAGAUAUCGGGAGGAACACCAGUGGCGAAGGCGGCCUACUGGGUACCAACUGACGCUGAGGCUCGAAAGUGUGGGUAGCAAACAGG